AUUUACACAUAGGCCCCAGUUCAGCCCAGUUCCAUCCCAUUUACACAUAGGCCCCAGUUCAGACCAGUUCCAUCCCAUUUACACAUAGGCCCCAGUUCAGACCAGUUCCAUCCCCCAUUUACACACAGGCCCCAGUUCAGACCAGUUCCAUCCCCAUUUACACGUAGGCUGACUCACUGGACUGCGUCCUGCCCAGGCUGAGCUGUCACACGUGGGUCCCAGUUCAGACCAGUUCCAUCCACCCGUGGGCCCCAGUUCAGACCAGUUCCAUCCCAUUUACACAUAGGCCCCAGUUCAGCCCAGUUCCAUCCCAUUUACACAUAGGCCCCAGUUCAGCCCAGUUCCAUCCCAUUUACACAUAGGCCCCAGUUCAGCCCAGUUCCAUCCCAUUUACA